rnacentral:rRNA from 1 species
UACGGGGGGAGCAAGCGUUGUUCGGAUUUACUGGGCGUAAAGGGCGCGUAGGCGGCCAGCACAAGUCAGUUGUGAAAUCUCCGAGCUUAACUCGGAAAGGUCAACUGAUACUGUGCGGCUAGAGUGCAGAAGGGGCAACUGGAAUUCUUGGUGUAGCGGUGAAAUGCGUAGAUAUCAAGAGGAACACCGGUGGCGAAGGCGGGUCUCUGGGGCCGAUACUGACGCUGGAGGAGCGAAAAGCGUGGGGAGCGAAACAGG